rnacentral:rRNA from 1 species
GUUUGAUCCUGGCUCAGAGCGAACGCUGGCGGCAGGCCUAACACAUGCAAGUCGAACGAAGUCUUCGGACUUAGUGGCGGACGGGUGAGUAACACGUGGGAACGUACCUUUUGGUUCGGGACAACUCAGGGAAACUUGAGCUAAUACCGAAUGUGCCCUUAGGGGGAAAGAUUUAUCGCCAUUAGAGCGGCCCGCGUUAGAUUAGCUAGUUGGUGAGGUAAAGGCUCACCAAGGCUACGAUCUAUAGCUGGUCUGAGAGGAUGAUCAGCCACACUGGGACUGAGACACGGCCCAGACUCCUACGGGAGGCAGCAGUGGGGAAUCUUGCGCGAUGGGCGAAAGCCUGACGCAGCCAUGCCGCGUGAAUGAUGAAGGUCUUAGGAUUGUAAAAUUCUUUUAGCAGGGACGAUAAUGACGGUACCUGCAGAAAAAGCCCCGGCUAACUUCGUGCCAGCAGCCGCGGUAAUACGAAGGGGGCUAGCGUUGCUCGGAAUUACUGGGCGUAAAGGGAGCGUAGGCGGGUUAUCAAGUUGGAGGUGAAAGCCCAGGGCUCAACCCUGGAAUUGCCUUCAAAACUGAUAGCCUUGAGUAUGGAAGAGGUAAGUGGAACUCCGAGUGUAGAGGUGAAAUUCGUAGAUAUUCGGAAGAACACCAGUGGCGAAGGCGACCUACUGGUCCAUGACUGACGCUGAGGCUCGAAAGCGUGGGGAGCAAACAGGAUUAGAUACCCUGGUAGUCCACGCUGUAAACGAUGAUUGCUAGUUGUCGGGCGGCAUGCCGUUCGGUGACGCAGCUAACGCAUUAAGCAAUCCGCCUGGGGAGUACGGUCGCAAGAUUAAAACUCAAAGGAAUUGACG